GAGGUAUAUAUACCGUAGCUGCACGCACUCUUGUAUUCCAGGGUGGACUUUGACUUUGGUGUCUGCGUUAAAGAUUGGUGGUGAGCUUCUGGGAGCUGCUGGAAGACAGGUGGGGGCAGAGCCUGCUAUCAAGAGCUGUUUGGCUGCAGAGGUUGCUGCUUAUGAGGAAUCCACGUGCCAGUACAAGCAGGAAAUUAUAUUUUCCUUACAGGAAUCUUUUAGGAAGGUAUGUAUACUUACUCACAUGUAUUAAUACAAAUAAAAUUACGUUUUCUUUAUAUAAUUUCACAUAUUACUUAUUCAAAAUAAGAAAUUGAUUUGAAAAUUAGACAAAGACAAUACAUGGUGGCACACAUCUGUAAUCCCAGUUAUUGGGAAACUGAGAAAGGAGAGUUGCCAGUUCAAGUUUCCUUUUCAUUUAAAAUGACUAAUAUAAAAUAUAUUUCCAGGAAUUUAUCUGUUUUAAAUAAAUUGUCAAAUUUGGGGAUCAAGAGAUAUGUAGCAUUAUAUUAUUUUCCUGUUAAUAUGAAUGGGGUCAUUCAAGGUGCUCUGCUUUUAUUCCUGAUAUUGACAAUUUUUGCCCCCCCUCUUCAAUUAUAUAUAUUAUAUAUUAUAUAUAUAUAUAUAUAUAUAUAUAUAUUAUAUAUAUAUAUAUUCGAUUAUAUAUAUUCAAUUAUAUAAUUUAUCAAUUAUAUAUUUUUUUUAAUAUCCAGGUUCGCAUUGAAUUUUCUUCAUUCAUUUUCUUUUAUUUCACUGAUUCUGAGUUUAAUAUUUAUUAUAUUUUGACAUAGAUUGAUUUUUUCUUCUUUUCAAUGUGAAUGCUUUGGAUAAUUAUUUUGAAACUAUUUUUUUUUCUAAUAGAAAUAAUUAAUGCUACCCAUGUUCCUCUCAACACUAAAUAAAUGCACUCCAUAGAAUUUACCUAUAUCAGCUAUCUAGUGUUUAAAAAUUCUAUUUGUAGCUUUGAUUCCUGGAUUAUUUAGAGUUAUGCUGUUUGAUUGCCAAAUAUUAGGGAUGUUAUACAUUAUUUGUCUCUUUCUCGCGCGCGUGUGUGUGUGUGUGUGUGUGUGUGUACACAUGUUCCCCAGGAAUGGACCCAGUGCUUUAAGUAUGCUACUGAGUGCUGUGCCACUGAGCUAUUUACCCAAGCCCCGCUGAUAUUGAACACAAAAUUUGUAUGAUAUCAACAGUUAUGCAUUUUGAUGUUUCUUUUACCUGCUGUCUAGGUUGUUGAAUAUUCUGUGUGCAUUUAAGAAAUGCUGUUUUUGUUUUUGGUGGGAUUUUUUUCUGUAAAUGUCAAUUAAUUCAAGUUCUCUGAUUAUUUCAUAAAGAUUAUCAUCUAUGGAUUGUUGAAUUUCUGUGUAAAUUUUCUAUUAAUUAAUUAUUGAACAAGUGCUAUUGAAAUCUUCAUCUUUGUCAUUGGGUUUUAAGUAUUUUGCUUAUAGAUCUACCAUUUUAUGUGUUCAUGUACUUUAAAAAAUUUGGGAGAACAUGCAAAUUUAGGAUUGUUAAGACUUAUGGAAUUGUUCUUUUCAUCAGGUAAUGUGCUACCUCACAUAGUUCUGUUUUGAGGUUCUUUUUCUUUCAUAUUAUUAGAACUACUUGAGCUUUCUUUUGGUCAGGGGUUUCAUAGUACACAUUUUUUCCCAUUGCUCAAAAGAUAAUAAAUGAUUUUAAUUAAAUGCCUACCAAUACAGAAAUAUCCUUAUUUUAGUAAGUUUAUUUUGUCUUAUAGUAUCGUGGAAAAUAUUUUAUAGCUUUUUAAUUUUGAAUUCUUUAAAUAUUAAUAUUUCUGACUAUACUUAUUAGUACAGUAUGAAUUGUCUAUAGAUGUAAAAAAAUUCAUUCUAUGUGAGUAAAAUUUUCUUUCAUGAUGACCAUCAUAUUGACACUAAAUUUGCCUUUCUAUAGUGUGCCAACUGUUUGAUAUACACUAAAACAAAUAUGUCAGGAAUGAAGAAUUUUUUAAAAUUAAGUGUGAAAAUAAAAAUUUAUGAUUUUUACACUUGUCUGUUGAUGCUAACAAUAUGUUAUUUAAGUUGAAUAUUGGUAAGCUAGCAGAAUUUAAAAAUAAAUCAAAAUAUUAUUCAGGUAUAUUGGAAUUGUAAAGUCAAAUAAAUGAAAUAUGAAACGUGUCAGUCAAGUUUCUCACUGUUGAGAAAUAGAUGUCCUUUAAAAUGUUGAGGAAACUUCCUUUGAUCCUUUUUUUUUUCCUGGUGUUUUAAACAUAAAUGGGUAAUACAUUUUGUCUAAUACUUUUUCUGAAUCUAUUGAGAUAACCAUGUAAUAUUUUUUAUUUAACUCUCUUUUGUGCUGAAUUACAUUUAUUUAUUGACAUAUUUUGAGUACGCCUUGAAUAAUUGGGAUGAAACCCACUUUAUCAGGAUACACACUAUCUUCUUGAUUUUUUUACUGUGGUUUGGUAAGAAUUUUUGCAUCUAUGUUCAUCAGGGAUAUUGGUCUGAAAUUUUCUUUUCUUGGUGUGUCUUUGUCUGGUUUUGCUAUUAGGAUAAUACUGGGCUUCAUAGAAUGAAUUGGUAUUGUUCUCUCCUUUUCUAUUUCAAGGAAUUAAAUUUGAGGAGUAUUACAUUACUUCUUCUUUAAAGGUCUGACAGAUCCCAGCUAGGGAUUCAUAUGGUCAUAGAUGUUCCAUUGUUCAAAGACUUAAUAGCUGUUUCAUUUUCAUGACUUCAUAUUGGUCUACCUAAGUUUUUUACAUUCUUAUGGUUCAAUUUGGGUAGGUCAAAUGUCUCUAGGAAUUUGUCACUUUCUUUGACACUUUCCAGCUUAAUGGAGUACACAUUUUCAAAAUAGUUUCCAAUGAUCUUCUGGAUUCCAGUAGUGUCUAUCAUGAUAUCUCCUUUUGCAUUAGUAGCUUUGUUAAUUUGGGUCAUCUCUCUCUUUCUUUUGAUUAGUUUGGCUAUGACUAUAUCCUUCUUGCUUAUCAUUUCAAAGAAUCAACUCUUUAUUGCACUUAUCAUAUUUAUUACUUCUUAGUCUCAAUUUUCUUUAUUUCUACUCUGAUUUUAAUUAUUUUUUGUUUUCUACUAAUUUUUAGCUUGUUCUUUUUCUAGGGCCCUGAGGUAUAAUAUUAGAUUAUUUAUUUGGUAUCUAUUUGUUUAAUGUAGGACUCAGUGCUCAAAACUUUCCUCUUAGAACUUCCCUCAUUCUGUCUCAGAGAUUUUAAUAUGUGUAUCUCUAUUUUUUGUCAUAAGCUUUUAAUCACUGUGACCAAAAGAUCUGACAAGAACAAUUUUAGAGAAGAAAAAGUUUAUUUGGAGCUCAUGGUUUCAGAGGCCUUUGUCCGUACAUGGCCAACUUCAUUUAUGUGGGCCAGAGAUGAGGCAGAACAUCAUGUCAGAAACAUGUGCAAGAGGAAAACAGUUCAAGAUAUAGCCACCAGAAAGAACAAAGAGCUCCCCUCACCAGGGACAAAAUACAAACUCCAAAGGCACACUCCCAAUGACCUACCUCCUCUAGCCAGAUCUUAGCUGCCUAUAGUUACCACUCAUUUAAUCCAUUCAAGUGGACUAAUACACUGUUUAGGUUGAUACUCUCAUAAUCUUAUCAUUUCUAAAUUUUCUUGCAUUGUCUCACACCUGAGCCUUUGGAGAAUACCUCAUAUAUAAACUUUAACACUUUUGUUUCUAAGAAUUUUUUUUUCUCCCCUACAUGCACUCUUCUGUGAUUCAUUUCUCAUUAAAAUGUAUAUUAUUUAAUACUAAUGUGUUAGAGGGUUUCUGCUUUUUAUCAUGUCAUUAAUUUAUAAUUUUAUAGUUAUUAUUUUAUUUUGAUCUUUAUUUAUAAGAUGCAAUGAAUUAUCUCUAUUUAUUGUGUUUGCUGAAAUUUGCUUUGUGCACUAAAAUAUGAUCUAUUGUAGAGAAUGUUCCAUAUGCCACAGAGAUAAAAAUGAAUUCAGUUGUCAAUGGAUGAAAUAUUCUGUAGAUGUCUGUGAGAUCCAUUUAAUUAAUAGCACUUUUUAGUUCUGAAGAAGUUUUACAUAUUUUAUGGUUGAUGGCCUAUAUACUGGUGAGAGAUGUAUGUUGAACUCACCCAACAUUUUUUUUUACUGUGGUCUAUUUGAUUCUUUCUGAUGAGAAGAUUUUGUUUUAAGUAUAUACAUGCAGCAGUGUUUGGGGCAUAAAUAUUUACAAGCAUUGUAUCUUCUUGUUGGAUGCUUUCCAUAACCAGUUUGAUAUGAUCCUCUCUGUCUCUUCUGAUUAAUUUUGGUUUGAAAUCUACUUUGUCUGAAAUUGGUUUCUGUUUGUAAGGUAUGUUUUUACUCAUUUUGAAAAAUUCAUUAUGUCAUUGUAUUUUUGAGGUAAACCUCUUGCAAACAAUAUAUGGUUGGUUCUUGGUUUUUGUGUCUUUUGAUGAAAGAGUUUAGGCUAUUUAUACUAAAUGUUAUUAUAGAAAGAUGAUUUUUAUUUACUACAAUUUUUUUCUAGUGAUUCAAACUUUAUUCUCAUUUAAUUGACUAUUUUUCUAAUGCAAUUCAUCUUUCUGCUGGUUUCCACUUUCAUUUUUUAUAUAUCUGCAUGAAAUACUUCAUUGAAUAUGUUUUGUUGUGUAGGUUAAGUGGUUUUAAUUUUUUUUUCAGUUUCUACUUAUUAUGAAAUUUUUUAUUUCAUUUUCAAUAUUCUGAAAAUUUUGCUGACUAUACUAAAAUAGGUUGGUGCCUGUUUUCUUUUGGGCCUUGGUAUUUAUCAUUACAAGCCAUCUAGGAUUUUAAGAUCUGGGUUAAGGAAUGAUUUGAAAUCUGACUUAGUCUACCUCUAAAUGUGACUUUCCAUUUUUCUCUAACAGCUUUAAAAAUUCUAUCCUUGUUCCAUAACUAGGCACUUAAUUCAAAAUAUGUCUGGGAGAAGAUCUUCUGUGGUUCUAUUUGGAGAUAUAUAUCUUAGACUUGAAUUUCCAUCUCAUUCCUAAGAUUUGGAAUAUUUUACAGUUAUUAUUUAAUUGAAAAAGAUUGUGCAGUCCUUCAGUUUGUAUUUCAGAGCUUUAAUUUACUCCAAUGAUUCUUUAAAUUUGGUCUCUUGAUAUUUACCCAGAUUGCUAUUGAAUAUCCUGGUCAUGAUUUUUUAACAUGUUUUAUUUUAAGUUUAUUAUUUUCAAGAUUAUAUGCUUUGUCUACAAGGCCUGAAGAUCUACCAUCAGAGUGGUCUAAUCUAUUGGUGUAUAUUUUGUAUUGAAUCAUUAAUUUGUUUUAUUAAGUAUUUCAUUUCCAGGAUUUUCAUUUUAUUCUUUUUCAGAACCUCUACCUCUUUAUAGGAAUGAUCUUAUUAGUCCAAUAUUUUUAAUUUUAUUUUUUUUAAAUCUUCUUUGGCUCAUUGAUCAUUUUAACUAUAAAUUUUCUGAAGUCUUUUUCUGACAUUUCCUUCACUGUAGUGUCAAUGUGGUCAGUGUCUGUGUGUUGUAGGCUGUUUGAGGUGGUUUGUUCCCUUGUUUUUCAUACUGCUUGUAUGUCUAGCCAGCUAUUGGGAUGAUUAUCACUUCUUUUAGCAAGAAAUAAUUUUGUGAGCUUCUUUCAAGUGCCUUGGGUUGGGUGAAUAUUCAGGUAUUAAUACUCUACUCUUUGUGUCCUCUACUCUUCCCAAAAUUAGAACCAUUUUGAAAGAGGACACUGAAACCUAUUUACUAUUACAGCAGAGACAAGUCACAUACUAUUCAACCUUACAAUAUUCCCAAAUUAAGCUCAUUUUCUGCUAUUAUAUUACUGAAUAAUUUUGCCAUGCCAUUAGUUUGUUUCUCCUCUCCUUCUUCAAUGCCUCUCAGUUUCAAGUUUGACAUUUUAAUGUUGUUCCACAGCUCUAUAUAUUCUAUUCAUUGUUUUCUCCCCUUUAUGUCUGUGUAAGUAUUCCAAUGCACCUAUAUUAUCCUUGAUUCCUCAUAAUGUUAAAAUUGGUCUAGUCCAUUGAUGCAAUUCUCCACUAAGUUUUUAUGUGAUUAAUCAAAGAUGAAGGCAGAGGAAAUGGGGAGGAGAAGAACUAGGGAAUGAAGUUGACCAAAUUAUGCUAGGUAUAUGUAUAAAUAUAGCACAACACAUUAUGAUUUUAAAUAUACUACAAUGCCUCAUUUAAGGAAAUAAGUAAAUAAAUAGAAAGGAACAAAUAUAGUAGACUAAGGGGGUUUGGAGGAGGAAGGAGUAAAAUCAAUGGACAAUACUGGGGACUGAAAUGGAGAAAAUUAUGUUACAUGCAUUUAUGAAAAUGUCAAAAUAAUCCCGACUAUUAUGUAUAAAUGUACUACACUAAAUAAAGACCAAUAAAAGCCACAUCUGAAUUCUCCUCAGGAAUUCUCCUCCAUAUAGGAAUAAAAUAAAAUGUUAAAGUGUAGAAAAAACCUAUACUAGUCUCCCUUGUAAAAUUAUUUUUCAAAAAUAAAAGAAAUCAAGACUUCCUCAAAAAAUUUUAAAUUUGUUGCCAGUAGAUCUGACUUACAAAUAAUAUUAAAAAGAAGAUCUUCUGAGAGAAAAUAAUAAUAUAAAUCAGAAACUUUUAUCUACAUGAAGAAGUAUUAGGAAAAGAGUAGGGAGAUAAGAUAAAAAUCUUAUUCAUUUUUAACUGAUCUUAAAAGUAAUGUUCAAAAUAAUAGCAACAAUAUUGGUGAUUAUGCAUAUAAUUAAAUAUACAUAUUAUGUGUACAGCCACAUUGUAAGAGCAUUUGGCAAUAUCUUCUAAAACUAAAUAUCCUCAUCAUGUACUUCACCAAUCAUCUUCCUUGGUAUUUUCUCAAGAAAUUUGAAGACUUAUGUCCACAUAAAAUCAAAAAACCUGGGUGUUUAUAGCAGCUUUCUUUACAGCAUAUUUUGUACCGUCGUCGGUUUCACAAGACUUCAUCUAUUUAUCUUUUCAUUUGUAAGUGCAUAGUUCUAUUAGUUUCUAAAAGUGGUAAUUAACUUAUUCGAUGAUUUUGUACUUUUCUGCCUCCCAGAGUUUACGUAUAUUCACUCCCUUCCUUAGGUAAAUUUUUCUAAUACAUCAUGAAUUAAGGGUGACAAUAUUAUACCCUUUUUGUUUUGACACCCGUUUCAUUUUAUUAGUCACCAACGGUCUUCAAUCCCUUCUUCGUCUCUUCUUUUCCGUCUGGAUUCUAUUAAAAAAAUGUGUUACUUUGUUAAGAUGUACUAUGAUAUUACCAACUAAGUAUCGUAAUGCGAAAAGUUACGAAUUGUGGUUUUUACUGGGUAUCAAACUUAAAAUCUGAAACUCAUUACGGCUACAAAAUUUCACAAAUGUUCAAGAUUCUUUACACAUUAAGACCAACCUCUAAAACUGUCACAACCUCCAACACACACCACCUUCUUGAUGAUAAACUCAAACCAUACUUGCUAGGUGACUAACUUUUAUCAACAAACAUCUUCUUAUAAAUCAAAAUUCACCAUACGUUAAAUUCACAAUGUAUCUAGACAAUAAACUUCCAUAAGUAAAAAUUUAAAUAAGUAAAUACGAUAAAACAAUAUGUACUGACGUCUUACUACGUCCGCAAGUACUAAUUAAGAGAUCUGACCAAUUAAAAGAAUUGUAUACAAGUAGGAUAACGACUCUCUUUCCAUAACUUUACUUCAAAAGUAAUGGGUUAUUUGUUUAUAUUUGUCCUUAAAAAUCUAUCAGUUUUACUUUUACAUGUUUUAUACCUGUACAUUUCUGCUCAUUUUUAGAAUACUUAUAAUGUUUUGUUGGAUUUAACCACUUAUUAUUAUAUAUAUUUAUCUCUUUUGGUUACUCUUCAUACUUUUUGUCUGAAAUGUACUUUAGCUUAUGUUAAUAUAGCCACUUCUGCCUUCUCAUGAAUGUUUUAAAGACAUAUCUUCUCCAUCAUUUUUCAGCUGUACAUAAUAUAUAUUCACUGAGUUUCUUAUAGACAGCAUACCCAAGUACAUCCAUCCAACAACUUUUAUGUGCAUAAGAGGGACAAAACAAAAACAGGAAAACAGGAACAACAACAAACCUGUGGCAUGAUCCUUGACACAAUCCUGAGGACUUCCUGCUUACUAUAAUGGUUGCUAUGGUGCAGGAUAGAAAUAUGAAUUCCCCACUGAAUUCUCUUUUGAUUUGAAGGUGGUUUUAGAAGGACACAGAGAAACUUUUCUGCUUUUGGUAAGGUCUAGCUCUAUUUUGAACUCUUCUGAUACCACCCCAACAGGAGAGGGUAUUGAUUGCUUCAUUGUAGUUUGGUGAGGGUAGAAGUAUGGGCUCUGGGGCUGGAGUUGUGGCUCAGUAGUACAGCCCUUGCCUGGCAUGUGUGAGGCCCUGAGUUCAAUCCUGAGCAAAAUAAAUAAAUAAAUAAAUAAAUAAAUAAAUAAAAUAUUUCAUUUACAAAUAAUUUUUUUAAAGAAGUACAGGCUGGCUGUGUACCAGCCUUUGCUGCUAUGGGUGAAAAUAGAGCCACUAUUGUGACUUUUCACUGUAGUAGCAAGAUUAUUGCCUAAAGUGUUCUCUCUUGUGAGGUUGCCUCUUUCCUGAACAUUUGGGUAUAGAGAAAGAAGAAGCAUUUGCCAUUUUUCUUUUUUUUUUUUUUUUGUUUUUUCCUUUUUAAAUUUAAUUUUGUCUGUCUCUGUUAAUGUUUUAAGUUAUUUUUAGGCCAUUAUUUUGUUAUGGGGAGACCACUCAGAAAACACACUAAUUCUGAAUUAGAAACAAAUCAAAACUUUGUAUUUUGUCAAUUUUACCUGGCCAGGGACUGCUUUCAUCAGAGACCAAGUGCUCUCUGAAAGAACAGCAGCCCUGAGUUGUUUGUGACCAAAGUAUUUCAGGAAGAAAAUAGCAAAGAAAAUCAUACCCUGGGGACUUUCCUAUGGAAUUUUGCAAAUUGCAAGCAAGCAAAAUACAAGGGCUGAAAAUGUAGUUAGCAGAGCAAAAAGAGAAAAAUGUAUACUCAUUUAUGGGGGCCUAUAUCCUCAUUUGUUUAGAUCUACAUCCUCAUUUGUAUAGGUCUACACAAAAACAAUUUAAAAAUAACACUACAUCCAUAUCUAUAUCCAUCUCUAUAUUUAUCUGUAAAUAUGUGUAACUAUAUUAGACCUCUAAGCUUACACUUAUCAUACUAUAUUUUUCUAUCUUAUUGUUAGCAACUUAGAUUCUAUGUCUUACAGUGAUUAUAUUGUUGUAUUUUUACUUUUUAUCUUUUAACUAUGGCAGACUGGAGUAACUUAACAUUACUAAUUAUGUAACACUUAUUUUCUAAUCCUAUUAUUUUAAUAAUUAAUAUUUUAUUAAUAUAUAAUUUCUAAUCUAUAACCAAUAACCUGUAUUGAUUAAAUUUAGACUGUAACAAUUUCUUUCAUUUCUGGGAUCCGUGACAUAAAAAGAAAACCCAAGAAUUCAACACCUGCCUUGCUUUUGGUAAUGGGGAUUGAGCUCAGGGGCAUUUAAAUUGUAAGCAAGCAACCAACAUUUCUAGACCUUCUUUAUGCUUUUAAAAAGACUUUCUUUAGAGACAGGGUCCCACUAAGCUGCUAAAGCUAACUUAACAACGGAUCCUUCAUCCUCAGUCUUCUGUGCAGCUGGAAUGACAGGCUUAUGCUACCGCAACUGACACCCUCUUGUCAUUUUUAAUAAUUUCUUGAAUUUAAGAUAGCUAGCCACUUGACCUUCUCUCCAUCUUUUAGAAUAGUGUUUGUUUGGUUUGAUUUCAUUUGAUUUUUAUGUACUGUCCAAAGAUGUUAGUUGUACUAGCAGAAGAAACAGGUAAUAGUUAAUUCUAACUCAUCUUCAUGAAAGAAGAACUACUGGUAAGUUUUCUAUAUUUUUAAAAGAAACAUAAUUUACAUAUAAAAUAAGAAGGGAUAUUUAAAUGUUUUCUUUAGAGAACAAGCAAUAUCUGGAAAAUGAAAAAAAAAUUGAUUUGAGAUGGUGUUUAUGCCAGUGAUAUUUGAAAGUAUUACACUUUAUAUUAAAGCAAUGUCUUUGGUUUUAAAAUGAAGAGAUGGAAAGUUCAGUGAGAAUAAAGGAUAAAUCUGCAAUGUUAAAUUUCUGCUUUUCCCUUUUGAGGCAUACAUUCACAAAAUGUUAUUACAAGCUUUUCAGGCAGCAUUUGCAAUUUUGAGUAAUUUCUGCUGUAGUCUGGCUCUGACUACUGUUCCUUGAAUCCUAAGCAGUAUAGAGUGAUCCAGAAAAUUCUUCCAUCUAUUCUGUGAUUGUUUUUUUUUUUCAGCUCUUAUUAAAUAAUCCAUAUUUAGAGGCUUUCCCACUUAAAAACAAAAACAAAAACAGAUAUAUCUUCUUUGUUUGCAUUGAAAUCAUGCAGACAUUGAAUGAAGAAGAAGACUUUUAAACCUAAUUCCUUAAUCAGCAACAGGCCAACUUGUCUGUGAAAUUUGUACAGAGCAAUGCUCAAUUGCCUGAUUUUUUUUACUAUUUUUAAUCAAUUACAUUAUAAACAGCACUCAUAUUAAUUUUAUUAUUUUUUAUCAACAUUAUUUUAAGUACAUUUUUUUUCCUGAAACAUAUCUAGCUUUAGGUGAUAAAUCAUUCAUGAUAAAGUAAAACAUAAUACAAUAAUACCUACUAAUUUAAUGUGUCAUAUUAAGAACAUAAAUCACAAAAAGCCUGGCACAAUGGGCUAGAAAUGUUUAAGAUGGAAAAUAGUGUCCUGAGCAGAAAUUUUCAGGGUGCACCAGGAGUACAAAUGUGAAGGCUAAAUCCAUAACUUGGCUGUUUGGAUUUUAUUUGGAUUCUACCACAUUUUCUGAGACCAAUCAGGUACAUGAACCUGAAGUCACACUUCAUCCAAAAACAAAAUGAAACUGAUAUGAAAAACUCCAUUUUUUUCCUAUGAUUUUUCCUUUACUUCUUUUAUAUUCCUUAGUCUUUUUUAUUCAGUUCCUUUUUCUGUUCCUGACAAGUAUUACAAGGUUAGGGUCCAAGAUUUGUUCUUCAUUUUAUAUUUACACUCUUAACCAUCUCUUCUAUUGAAACCAGCUCUGCCUACCUUUAACAGUUACUGGUUCAGAGUAAAAGCUCCCAUCCUGAGCUGAACUCAAACUCAUCUCCUUGUGGUUACCUCUUUGGUAAUGUUUUUACUUACUUAUCUUGACAGCUCUUCCAUCAAUCCAUUUUAGGUAUUGACAUUACUCACCAGGUCUAGCUUUGCACUAGAUCAAUUCUCUAGGGUGCUGCCUCCAAUCCCCCUCCCACCUGUUCAGUGUAUACCUCAAUGCCACGCUAAUCAGUUUUUAAAGUGAUUUAUUAUUAGUCUUUCUCUGAAUCAAAAAGUUUUACUAACAUGCCUUUGUGGUUCUAUGUAAAAACAAAUUAAAUAGUUGCAAUAUUUCUUCCUGAAAUAAAUUUUAAAAAAUAGUUUAGGGAAGAAGUGCUUUGACAAUGUUGGAAUGAGGAACAUAAAAGACUUGAGCAAUCAGAUUAUUUCUAUUUCUCAGUUCUGUGUUGGCCUUUUUUCCCCCCAUUUAAAAGGAAUAUUUCACUUCUCUGCACUGGGGAAGAUGGCAAACAUCAGCCCCAGGCUUAGUAAUCCCAAACAACAAAGAUUUUGUGCCUCCUUCUGAUUAGGAGGCACUCCCAAGUGUUUCUUUUCAUCUUUUUUGGUGGGGUGUGAGGGGGUACGAGGAUUGAACCUAGGAGUGCUUAACCACUGGGCCACAUUCCCAGCCCUUUUUCAUAUUUUAUUUAGAGACAGGAUUUCGCUGAGUUGUUCAGGGUCUCACUAAAUUGCUAAAUUUGAAAUCUGUGUGUCUCCUGCCUCAACCUCCCCAGCCGCUUGGAUUGCACAUAUGUACCACUGUCAAGCCAGACACAGUUUUAAUUGGUUCUUCUUCUGUUAAUUCUUUUGGAUAAAUAACUGUUGCCAUAUAAAUGUGUUAAUUUUUUUUUAUCUUGUUUUGGCCAAGCUUUUUUACAUAGGAAAGAAGGAUAGGUGGGAAACUUAAGCGUGACUAGGUAGAAGAAACCUCCCUUAUCAAGAGACAACAAAUACUUCUUUUUAUUCUUAAGUUCCCCCUCUUCAGGAGAUCUUUCUCUUUUCUCAGUGUAACCCCUGGACAUUUUUAAAAUAAGUUUAUGAUUUAUAGAAUUUGGACUACAGAGUCAUUCAGGUUAUUCUCAAUCAAAUACCACCUGUGUGACCUUAGGAUAGUAAUUUAAUUAUUCUAAGCUUUGGUUUCUAAAUAUCUAAACCAGAAUAUGAUAAGAAACCCUACUAGUUAUGGUAAAUUCUAAAUGAAAUUGAGUAUGAAAAGCACUACCACAUAAUAAACACUCAAUUAAUAAUAGCUAUUUAUGAGUGUGUGGAGAUACUGCUUUCCUCAUUGCCUCCUCAUGCAUCUAUAAUUUCAAAAUGUUACUAAUUCAAAAAUUAGAAAUGGGGCAGGGAUGUGGCUCAGUGUAGUGCACUUUCCUAGCAUAGAUGAUAGAUAACCUGAGAUGGAUACCUAGCAGUGCAUAAACAUGAAAAAAAAUGGUAUGUCAUGAAUAUGUGUAUGAAUACUGUGAAUAAUGUCAGAUCCAUUGCUUUAAUUAAAUUUACUUAUGAGAGUAAACAUUAUUUCAUAUGUUUAUGUCUUUUUAAAUUUUGUUUUCAUUGUAGUUUUUUUUUAUGUUCUCUGUUGCCCUGUUUUCUAUUGGAAGUUUGGUCUUUUAAAUUCUUAGAUUUAAAAAUACCUGUAUAUAAUAUGUUUAUUAGUCUUUUACCUGUGAUAAAUGUUGUAAUUAUUUCCCCCAGUUUGACAGUUAUCUUGUGACUUUGCUUUUGGAUCAGAAUGAAUUUUUUUACCAAUAAGAAAUCUUUUAAUGUUGUCAAACUAUUAAUAUUCUUUUAUUACAUCUGUAUUUUGAGAAAUGGAGUGUUAUUUCCUAUGCUCAGAGUAAUAUAUGUGCCCAUGCUUUACUUUAAUAUGAUUUCUGUUUUUGCUUAUUUGUUAUUGUUUUUUACAUUCUUUAUCCAUUUGGGUUUAUUAUUUUGUUUAAUAUGGAAUAAUAAUCUCAAUUUAUCUUUUUCCAAAUGUCUUAACAAUCUGUGCCAGUCACACUAAUUAAAAAGUCCAUAUUUUUCCCAAUGAAUUGAUAGCAAUUUUAUUCCAAAGUAAUGCCACAUUUGAGUCAAGUCUAUUUCUGUAAUUUCUUUCAUUCCAUAUUUUUUGGUCUAUUUGUGGGCAGCAUUAUAUUGUUUUAAUUUUAGAGAGCUUAUACAAAAUUUAAUGUUUGAUGGGGUUAUUGCUUAUCACUGUUAGAUAAAAAAGAAAUUUCCUGGUUAUUUUUGCAUGUCUGUUUUUCCACAUUAAGGAUAGUAUUUAUUGUCUACUUUGAUUUACUAAGAAAAUUUAAUAGCAUUCUUUUACAAUGUGUUAAUAUUAUAAUAUAACUUCAGGAGAACUGACUUUGUCAUAAUUAUGACUUAGAUUUUAAGACUUGAAAUCAAGUGGUUUAAAUUUAAUUCGAUAUGAAGUAGUAACUUAAGUCAUUAUUUUCUUAUUUAGAAGAGUUUUCUCUGAAUAACUAUUAGAAUUAAAGGUAAAUUGAAGUACAGAUGGGAAGAUAAGUUGCGUGCUAUUCUCUUUCUUUACUUUCUUAAAAUCAUAAAAUUUUUGGCCUAGAAUUAUGCUGUUAAUAAGAAUCAUUGCCAAAAUUUAUGCAUAAUAACGAUUCUCUUUAAAAAAAAAACAUUUGAAGUUAGAGUUUAUGCUACUUGAAUCUUAGAAAUUCAUAACUUAUAAGAUGACAUGAAUUUUUUCAUUAAAAAUGUUUUUUCUCAGGCUGGGGAUGUGGCUUAAGUGGUAGCAUGCUCACCUGGCAUGUGUGCGUCCUCAGUUCGAUCCUCAGCACCACGUACAAACAAAAGAUAUUGUGUCCGCUGAUAACUAAAAAUUAAAUAUUAAAAAAAGUGUUUUAUCUCAAUUUUAUUAUCCAGAUUAGUAGGAUUUCUUCUCAGUAAAAUAAUAACAACUUAAAGAAAAAUGAUGGAUUUAACAAAAGUCAAUAAGAAAGAAAUUCUGUCAUUUAUAUUCAAAAAUUCCUAACUUCCUAUGUUCAUAUUUAGGUAAAGCAUUUUGUUAAUUAGCAGAAUCCAAAAACUGAGAGAUGAGGAAGUUUUAAUAGAAUAUGUUUUAAGAGGAAAAAAUGUCAAGGAUGAAGAUAUAAACAUCUACCUACUAUAUAUUGAUAGUAUAUAUCUAUAGUAUAUUUAUAGUAUAGAUGUAAUAUGCAUAAUACUAUCUAUAGUAUAUUUGUAGUAUAGAUGUAAUAUGCAUAAUAUGUAAAUAUAUGCUUAUGUAUAUGUGUAUAUAUAUUUUAUACAUAUAUAUGUAUACAUAUUUAAAUCAAGGCACUGACAGCAGUCACACUAAAUUGAAAACAUCUCAUAAACUUAUAAGAAAUCUUGUAAUAACUGUUCCCUUUAACAAAUAUAUAAUGGUUAAUGGCUGGGGAUGUAACUUAGUAGCAGAGUGCUUACUAGCAUGUAUGAAGCCCUGGGUUCAAUCCACAGUACCAUUAUCAAAAAAGUGAAAUCUUGUGGGCUGGGCAUGUUGACUUUGUGGUUUGCAGUUGUUCAGCAUAUGUGUGGCCCUGGAUUCAAUCCCCAAUACUCACAAAAUACAUCAAAUGUAUAAUGGUUAAAGCCAGAGACUAUGAGGAUCACUCCUUGCUUCCUACCACUGGGUAGGGUUAAUACUCGGCAUAUAUAAAACUUUGCUAAAGAAACUUUGUGAGAGUUCUUGUGUCCGAAUUAUUUCUGGUCUUCUGUAAUUUACAGAAAUUGUUUUUGGAUUAUAAAAUGUUUUAAACAUGGAAAGAGAAUAAUUUUUUUAGAAAUUAAUUAUAAUACAGUCAUUCAAAUAUAUAUAUAUAUAUAUAUAUAUAUAUAUAAAAUAUAUAUAUAUAUAUUUCCUAGCAAAUGACAGGCUAAUAGAGAUUUAUGAUGGAGAUUACAGUGUUAAGGUAUAAUCACAAUUUUCAUGCAGUGAUAUUUUAAACAAUUUUUAGAGAUAUCUUUAAUUCUUAAAAACAAAAAAAAUUACUGAAAAAUCUUGUUUCAGCAUUUUGAAAUAUCUGAUGACAUGAAGGUUUACAUGGUAACACAAAUCUAACAAAAAUGUUAAAAUACUGACAUGAAAUACAAAUCAACCUUUUCUCCCUAACUUCUCUAGGAGCACAGUUUUUGCUUUUUCAUGGCACUUGAUUCUGUGGAUUCUCUGCAUGUAUAAGGGUAGAAGAGAACUGAAUGAAGAAAGCCAUAGUCACUUGAGGUCCUACUAAAUUAUAUAAGAUAUAACAUUAUUUUUUUCUCUUCAGUAAAUUAGUAAUAGCUAUCAUAGUUUAAGCAUAAUAAAAAGGCUGAAUUAUGAUAUCUAUGACCAACUUAAGGAUAUUCAUUCUCAAACUAUUUGUGUAAUAAAUAUUAUUUUUGAUAAAUAUACUAUUAUUUUCUAAAAUUAUGAUUACAUAAAUACCAUUACAUGAUACACAUACACACAAAAAAAUUAAAAUUAAUAGCAAUUGUUCUUCAGAAUAUUUGGGAAAAAUUAUUCAGUGUUGGCUCCUAAGAUACUGAUAAAUUAUAAACAGUAAAUGUUUAUUUGUCAAGUGUGGUCAUUUGAAAAAAAAAUUCUUAUAAUUAACUUCUUAAUAAUAAUAUCAUAAACUUUCUAGUGGGCUAUUUGAAUAAAUACCAGAUUUCAUGUGCUAAACUAUUUAAAACACACAUAAAUAAUCAUCUAGUCUUUUAUGAAACAAAGUAAUGAUUAUUGUGCUUUGACUUCAUGCAGUUUAUCCAAAGGCCAUAUGUCCUUAUGUUGAAAUUGUAUUUUUCUUAUAAUUAUGUACAAAAUGUAUUCUGUGUAAAAUAUGCAAAUAUAAAAUUAUAAAUAUACUUAGGCAAACAGCAAUAUAAGUUUUAACAUAAUUUUAUAUAUAAUCUCUGAACAUUUGUUAGCUAGUUUAGACAUCAUGCUCUCAGGUCCCUUCCAUAUUCUUUAAUGUUAUUGAGGGCUCUGGAGAAAUGUUGUUCAUAUAAUUUUUGAUACUACAUUUGAAAUUAAAACUGAAAAUAAUUUUAUUCAUUAAUAAUCUCAUAAUAACAAUAACCCAAUACAUGUUCAUAUAAGUAAAAUACUUGUAUAAAACAGGUAUUAUUAUGAAAAGUUUUACCAAUAAAAUUGUAUUUUUUGAAAACUAUUAUACAAACAUAAAUUUCAAACUAUUCAUUGAGAAAUGUGCCUUUUUUUAGUUUGCUAAUUUUUAGAUUGCUAAUUCAAAUACCUCUUAAUAUUUGCUUAAUAUAUGAAACAUCUGUUGCAAUAUUCUGUUCUGAAUGAACUUCAUAAGGAAAGUCUUGCCUCACAUUGUUAUGUAGUUGGAAAAAUACGUAGCUUUCAGGUAAUCAUUGAUAUUCUUUGAUAUUAUAGAGAAAUUGACAAAUGAUAAUUUAUUAAACAUUGUUUUCAGUAUUUUAAAAUAAAUCAUGUCAUUAAGCCUGUUGUAAUCAGUUUCAUUUAAAUCCAUUGUUUAAUCUCUCUAAUUAGAAUUUUUUUCACAUAUAUUAUCUUGUUAUUUCAGUCAAUGGUAAUUUUGAAAAUAUCAGUUUUUGGAGUAAUGUAGAACUUCUAAAGGUUGACAGAUUUAAUUAUGUAAUAUCAAAUACUUGCAUGGUAAUACCACCAAAAGUCUCUUUUAAAAAGACUUUAAAUGCUAGGAGACUAUUAGUAUCCUGGUGUAGAUAAAUGCUUUCAAAAUUUGAGGUUUUGCUAGAAAGUUUGAAUUUUAUCAUUGUCAAAAAAUGCUGUCAGUUGUUUUCCUUGAAGGGAAUGGCUUGGUUGGUUCAGGAUGCAUCUCAUUCACACAAGGGUUUUUUCUUCUGGAGUAUCAAUUCAGUUUGAUACACAGUGGGAAUGUUUUAUGCAUACUUCCCAUUCAUCAUUAAAAUUGAUUCUAAUCAGUAAUUGAGUUUUUUUUUUUUCCUAGGUAUCAGGGAUUGUACUCAGGAGCACUCAACUACUAAGCCACAACCCCAGUCCUACUUUUUGUAUUUUAUUUAGAGACAGAGUCUCACCGAGUUGCUUAGUCCCUUGCUUUUACUGAGACUGUCUUUGAACUCAUGGUCUUACUAUCUCAGCCUCCAAAGCUUCUGGGCAGUGAUUGAGAUUUCAUGAAAUUAAUGAUUUUUACUGCAUCAUUCUUAGGAGAUACCCCCCACUGCCACAAACACAGAAAACUCAUAAAGGUGAGAAAUAUCAUGGCAAGAGUUUAAUGCCUCUGGAGUGAUUUAUAGGCGUGUAAUGACACCAAUGCUUCUGCAUUUUCAGUGCAAAUGCCAACCCAACCAAAAGAUAAAUAUAGUCUUACUGUCAUUAUGAAGAUAGCUUUGACCUCUUAGAUUUCCCAAAAAGUGUCUUAGGCUAGGAGUUUCCAUAGAAACUUCUUCAAGUAGUAAGUAAGAUUAUCAUUAAUAGUCUAAUGAACUGUGGUUGAUUUUGUAGAAGAUUGCUAACUCAAUGAAAAAAAUUAAUGAAAAAAAGAGAGACUACAUACUUUGACUACUUUUAUUAUGGGCUGGGUGCUGUUUUUGCCCUUACUGAUCCACUCUCAUCUCUCUGUUCAGUGUCUCUAGAGGGUGAUCUUCAUGGACUCUGUCACUGAGCUCCUUGAUCACUGGCUAUCAGAGGAUUUGGCCAGUAUACUUACAGGCAGGAGAUCAGUGGGCAAAGGAAAAAUGAGUCAAGAGCAUUUAUUCUUAAUUCCUUUCCUGCCAGGCAACUGAUUGACUACCACUUUAUUUCUCUCUCAGGGGCCAAAUGUCCUAUCAUGGCUAUUAAUCAGAGUUAAGAAAAAUAAUAUCAUUACUACUUUCUGAUGUUUCAAAUUAUUUUUAUUUACUUUUUAUAUAUAUCAUAAGAUUUGUGGAAUUCAUUUAUGUAUGAAUAAUGACAACUGUGUUUACAAAAGUUAAUUAAAUUAGUUGAGAUCUCAAAAUUAUCAUAUGGUGGAAUUGUGUCUUCUCUUCUUCACUGAUCACUGGAUUUAGAGCCCACACUAAAUCCCAUAUGAUCUCAUCUCAAAAUCCUUAACUUAAUUACAUCUAAAAAAGUCCAUACUUACAAAAUUAUAUGGGCAUCUUUUGGGGGCUACUAUUUAACUUUUUGUAAUGGCUCCAAAAUCACAGAGUGAUCAACUUCAUUCUUUUACUUCAUCUAGUCCCUGUCUCCUUACCUGGGUCAGCCCCAGCCAAGCUGCCAGUCUCCUGCUUCUGGAACAAAUUAUGGAAAUUUGCACCUCUGGAGCUUUGCCUUGGUGCUUGCCUCUGCCUAGAAUGCUCCACUGACAGCCUGGACUUCACUCCCCCACUUUCUUCUAGUGUUUGCUCCAACCUCACUACCCCCAACAAACUUGUUUCAAAUUGCAACCCUGCUGAAACUCCAUCCUCUACUCCAGCAUUGUCAAUUCCUCUUAAUGGGAUGUAUGCUACCUUUUUAUCUUCCAUAUCAUUUUGCAACUUCUAAAAUACAAUAAAUUAGAGUUUCUAUUUACUGUAUGCAAUCUCCCUCAAGAAGGUGGACUAUAGACAGAGAUCCUGGACUGGGGUUUUCACUGAUGCAUUCUGACAGAGCAAUUUUGUUCAAAACAAAGAUUGUAUAAUAUGCUAGCUCUUUCAUAGUAUCCUUCUUGGUAAUGAAAAUAUAUGUGGACUCUACUCUCGAAGUAAAAUCUCUCUCUCUGAAUCUGAUUUUUUAUAAAACACCAAAAUUUGCCUAUACUAAUUCAGAAAUAAUUUAUUAAAACUAUGAAGGCAUCUUGUAAACUUGUAAAAAUUAUUUUGAAUUAACAUGUAGAAUUUGGAGAUUUAAUGUGAAAUUACAUCCAAAUUGAGAAAAUCAGUAAUUGAAAGUGUGGAUGCUUGCCAUUUCUUGAUCCACUUCUCUGUGGGAACUACUAGAAUUUUCUUAAAACACAUGACCCAUUCAUGAAUUUCCAAAUGAAUCAGUUAUUGUGGAACAAAUAAUUUGUCACUGAAUUUCAAAUCUGAACACUUGGCUCUGUUUUAAACUAUUUCCUAUAUUUCAAAGUAAACUUUCAGAGAUUGGGAGAAACAAAUUUUAAAUAAAAACUCUAGUACUGUAAUGGUUUUAACAAAUUGUUAAUGCAAUUAUUUUGCAUAUUGCAGUAUUUCUUAAAUAUUUAUAGAGUAUGAUAGACAUAUUGCACAGUUGAUUCCUGUUAUUUAUAAAAUAACACACAUCACAAUUAUGUGUAAAGAUACAAAUACUUCAAAUUUGAGCUUCUUUUUAUGACUGAAGGGAAUAAAUGAUUUUGUAAAAGUAACAUUGUAAAUCAAUCAAACCCAUACACCCUCUCUAAAACUCAAAUGAAAAAUAUGUAGUAGAAUAUUACAUAAUGAAUAAUGAAGGAAAAUAGGCAUAUUUAUAUGGUUUUACUACAUAUUUAUAUGUUUUUAUUAUACCAACAUAUAUUAACUUUACAUAAUACAUACCUUCACAUAUGUAUUGCAUAAAUAAACUAGAUAAUCAUAUACAUAAAUAAGCAUGUGUGUGUUCAUGUACACAUAUGUAUGCAUAUAAUUUCCUUUAAAAUUGAAUUACUAUCAUCUAGCCAGGUUCAAUCUUCUUUGAAUUUGUCUUUUAGUCUAGUCCUUGUGAUAUCUACUUCCUAAAAGAUAGACUAAAAUAUAAUAGAAAAUAUGGUAUGACAUGAAAUGCACAUGCAUACACAGGUACACAGGUGAAAUUUUCAAAAUGCACAUAGAAAAAAAUAGGUCAAAGUAACUACCUUUGUAAUGGAGUUGGGAAGAUGGAGUUCUUUUGUUAGGACUUUCAAUUUCUGAUUAGCAUACAGUUGCAGUAUUUAACUUUUAUGGAGUGCUACUGUUAUUCACUUCUUUAAAAAUUGUGCAAAUAUUAUUUCUUAAUCUAUAAUGUUUGCAUAUUUUAAAGAUAUAUCUUUCCUUACAAAGAGAAAAACUAACUUUAACAUCUCAGAUUAUACAGACUGUUCAUGAUCUGAUCAUUAGUGUCUUCUUGUCAUUUAAUUUUUACUCUCAUCUCUCCUUAUACACCAGAACAUUUUUGUGACCAUUAUAAUGAACUUCAAUGUUUCUAUCUGUUUGUCUUUUUUAAAAAUUCCCUACUGACUAGAUUUUCUAGGAACAAAUACAUUGACAUACUGUCUUAGAUCUCUCACAAUUUUCUUGUCCCACCUAGCCUUGCAUUAAUCUUUUAAUGAAACACUAAAUCAUACUACUCUCUACCUUAUCACUAACUCUAUAAUUAUUUUAAUUAUGCAUUUAAUACACUUGAAUGAUUCAUGAGGUAUUUGAAUGUGUCAGUACCUAGAAAGAAGAGAAGGAGGGAGGCAGAAAAGAUAAAAUAAAGGAAGAAUGUAAUAAGAGAUGGAGGCUGGUAAAAAUGGAAGAAAGGAAGGGAGAAAUAAAAGGAGGGAUGGAAGACAUGACAAUGGAAGAAUGGAAGAAGAAAAUGAAGGGCAGAAGGUAAUGUAAGAGAAGCAAAUGAAAUAUUAAUUGUAAUCUUAUGUUUAUUGAAACCAUUAUUUUUAAUUAACACCACAUUUCAAAAAUAUAUAGGAUGGGGCUGGGCAUAGUGGCACAUGCCUGAAAUCCCAGGGGCUUGGCCAACUGAAACAGGAGGAUCUGAGUUCAAAGCCAGCCUCAGCAAAAUAGAGGUGCUAAGCAACUCAGUGAAAUCUGUCUCUAAAUAAAAUACAAAAUAGGGCUGGGAUGUGACCAGUGUUCUAAUGCCUAGAGUUCAAUCCCUGGUAUCAAUAAAUAAAUAAAUAAAUGUAUAGGAUGGGAAGCAUAGUGACAAAAAUUCCGGAGCACAGGCUACUUCUAGUUAAGAGUUAAAGUAUGGACAUUGAUUUUUUAAAAAUUAUUUAGGAAAGGUUAUUGUUAACUAGAAAAGAUCUGGGACAACCAAAGCAGGCUCUCUGUAUACAUUUCAUGUAGGCUGCUGCUGAAAUCUAAGCCAGCUCAUAGAAAUCUCCUUACAGUCUAUCUUGUCAGCCAAUCAAGUCUGUUUUCACUUUCUUGAACCAAAUUUUUCAAACCAGGAAAUGUUUAUGGUAUAUAGAGAAUUAGCUCAGUAACCAUCUGAGUUUUCUUCUGUUUCUAAUGACAAAUUUUCACUUUCUUUUGCACCCUUGAGUGACUGAAGCAUCUGUGACACAUUUAAAACUGAAAUUCAGACUGGGAAAAUCAAUGUUUACAUUAAAUAGUCUGAAUUGUAAAAAAAAAAAAAAAAAAAAAAAAACUCAAAAAAGAGGACACAUGUCCUAGCCAAGUUUUACCUUUUAUUUCGUGAAGUGAAUACAUAUAUGUAUUCCAUAUAUGUAUGUGUGUAUGUAUGUGUAUGUAUAUAUAUGGAAUACAUAAAAAUUAUUAUACAUAUAUGGAAUAUAUGUAUAAUCAGUACCAAAUAGAAUAACUUUCCAGUAUUUAUGGAUAAAAAAUAAGUUUCCUGUGACUUUUCCAAUAUUUUGUUUUAUUUCCUCAUGAGAGACUUAAGAUAAGUUUAUGUUUUCUCACUUUUAUAUUUUCAAUUAACAUUAUUAAAAAUCAGGUGGGUCUUAAACUUCUACAGUUAUACAUGUAUCAAUGAAAUUUGAGUACCAAAAUGUAUUUCUCAAGUAAUAUAUGUUGCCUAUUUUUGACACGUUGUCAGUAUCAAAAUCAUUUAUUCUACUGAAACAUGACUAAUAGAUUCUUUAUUAAAAAAGUUUGGCGUGCAUACUUCCUACCAACCUUUUAAAAAGUGUUUUCAUUGUAAAAUUCCAAAACUUAAUGAAUUUAUUUCUCUCUAAACAAACAUUUUCCUUUUGGAUUUUUAAGUUUAACACAUUUUUAUUGACUGUGAAUAUAUACCAAGCCCUGUUCUAGGAUCCUGGGAUACAUGAAUGAACAAUGUAACAACAAUCCUUAUCCCCAGGUGUCUUACUGUUUUGUGUUGCUAUAUUAAAAUGAAGGAGGCUAGAUACUUUAUAGAGAAUUUGCCUUGAUGAUUCUGAUUGCUGGAAAUUUCCCAAAACAUGGCACUUGUGCCUGUUGAGACCUUACCUGCAUUACAACAUGAUAGAGAAACCAAAUGUGCAAGAUAACCAAGCAAGAGAGAGAGUGGAGAAAGCUGACAUUGCUGUUUAAACAACCAUUCUUGAGGAAACUAAUGCAGUUCCAGGAGAUUUGACCCACCCCUCUGAUAGGGUUUUUAUCUCUGAAAAAUAUUGCUCCUGUGACCUGAAAACCUCCCACUAGGACCCACCUUUUAGAGAUCCACCAAUACUGUUAUACUGGAGAACAUUCACUGCACAUGGAGCUUUGAGUGACAAAACAUUUCCAAACUAUAACAUCAAGACUUAUGUUUACAUCCUAAUUUCUGGUAGUCUUUUUGUGGAAUUUUGAAAACAAGUAGAACAAAUUAAUUAUCCUAAUUAACCCAACUACGUAUUUCUUUGGGUAUUCAACCAUAGGUUUAUUGUGUCUUUGCCUGAUAUCACUCAGGUGACUUGGGUAUUUAAAACAUGUCCCAAAACUUUAAUCAUGGACACUUAAAUAAGGAUAUUUUAGAAUUGGCACUGAAGGUUCAAAGUUUUAUUUGCUCUAGAAUAUCAAAACCAGGUAUAUGUGCAUGGAUUGACUCAGUGAAUAAAUCAUGCAUUCUAGAAAAAAGUGACUCUUCUUACAUUGAGUUCUAAUAAAAUUCUAGAAAAUGUUAUAAAUCAUCUUGUACUAUUCUGUUUAUUGAUGAAGAUAUCAGAACAAAGAGUAAACAAUGUUACUUAAAAAGAACCUAUGAAGGGCUGGGAUUGUGGCUCAGUGGUAGAGCACUCGCCUAGCAUGGGCAGGACCCGGGUUCCAUCCUCAGCACCACAUAAAAAUAAAGGCAUUGUGUUGUGUCCAUCUACACCUAAACAAUAGUUUUGUUUUGUUUUGUUUUUUAAAGAAAGAACCUAUGAAGCAAUGGUGACUUUAAAUAAUGUCACAGGAAAAGAAGUGUAAAAAAAAGAGUUGUAUUUUAGUGUUUAUGAUACAAUUCACAUAAAAGAAUAUGUGACUUCUCACAUGGAGCUGUUCUGACUAAUUCUCUCAUUUGUUUUGUUAAGAUACAUUUUGUAUUGACUGGGAGAAGAAUAAGGAAGAAGAUCACACAACAGAAUAAGUUAGAAUAAAGUCAUUUUAUUAAUUUUAGGAUACUUCUGUUCCAAAGAAUUUCCAAAAUUGAAAUCAAUCUUUACAAUCUUUACAAGACACAUUUUAAAGUAGAAAAAUUAUCAAGAACAGCUCUAAGCCAUUUCAUUAACUUUCAUUGAUAAAAUGAGAGAGUCAAAUUAGUGGAUUUCCAGGGUGAAAAGGAUGAUAAAAUACUAAAAGUUCAGGAUCCUUAACUGUCCACAGAUACAAAGCAACUAAUUCUUUCUUGAAAUAGAGUUAGAGUAAAAGGCUCAAAAUAUUUUAACAAAGAUAAGAAGAGUAAAAAUACAUAUUAUGUGGGAAAGGGAUGAUACUGUACAAGGAUCUCACACAAAAAUACUUUUAACACAACCCUUGGGAAAAGGUGUGCACUUUUUUGUUUGGUGUGCCAAUCAAAUGUGUGUUUUAUAAAGUCCUCUGCUAGGUGGGUACUGACCUCUCUGUGAUGGGCUAAAAGGUUGGUGGAGGUCAGAACUUCAUUUGGGUCUUUCAGGCAAUAGAAUACAUUAAAGAAGAUAAAAAAUACAUUGAAGAAAAAUUCACAGCUCUUGCAGAAUAUAAAUACAGAAUGCAAAGAUGAAAUAAAAUAAAGCCGAGAUAAAGAAAAAAAACUACAUAUAUAACACUAAAAUCUGAGCCAAUGAAAGUUGAAAUGUAAAUGAAAAUAUUAUUGUAAAUGGAAAUUGGGUCAUUAUGAAGAAAUAGUGAGAGGUCUAAGACUAUUUUUGUUGCAUCUGUAUAAUAUAAAAUAUGGUUGUACCUUUCUUUUCAGUCAUCUUUGGUAAAAUUAUAAAAAUAUAAACAGUAAGAAAAUUGAUAAAAUGGGGGAGUCAAAUUAGUGGAUUUCCAGGGUGAAAAGGAUGAUAAAAUACUAAAAGUUCAGGAUCAAAAGACAUUUCAUACCAUCUAACAAGCAAUAAAGAGAAUACUACUAACACAGUCCUUAUAGUGAAUAUACUGGACAGGACUGUUAAUAGCAAAUGAAGAAAAUAUACUUCCAAAAAAAUCACACUUGGUGCUCAACUCAUUGAAUUGUGAAGCAGAAAAUAAAACUAUAUUUCUGUAACAAUGUUGGUGGUGAAAAAGCUCCAUGAUCUUCAUCACUAUGGAAACAAAUGCUAAUCCUAAAGGUUGGACUUUCAAGUCAGUAAUUUAAUAUUUGACUUUCUUUAUUCCAAUAAAUUUAAAAUAGUAUCUAUUAAGUGAGCUUAAAGUGGAAACUUAACCAAAUUGGAAAUGAGGCACACAUUAUUCAAAAACAGAUUUGUCUUAAGUUUUGUAAAUGGGUGGGGAUAAUACAGAAAUUAAGCAAUUGGAAGUUUUUUUUUUUUUCCUCAAACACUGCAGCUACCAUUAAUUUAAGAAAUCAUUAAAAUAUGCAAUUCUGCAGCACUUAACCAAGGUAGGAAAUCAAUGAUUGAAAAUGUAUUUUUAGGGUGACUAGUUGUACAAAAGAGCUAAGCCUCAUAGCAAAAGUGCAAUGAGACAAAAACUUGUAACAUGACAAAAAUUGAAAUAUAAAAUUGACAAAUAGGUAAAGAGAAAAUUGUAUCAUCAACUCUAAAUGAGGAAAGAUUUACUAGAUAUUAUUUCUUCUUUAGCAGUUAAAGCAGUAACAAUAAGAAAAUGAUUCAUAUAAUUUACAUUUUUCCAUCUGUUGAGACAUUUUUCUCAUCUAAGAACUCAAAUAUGGGUUUUGCCAUUUUAUAUCACUUGCUCAAUCUUUUCUUUAAAACUCUGAUUUGACUUUUAUAAAUUUUAGGUCAUCUUUUUAUUUUGUGAGUCCAGCAAUAUAUUGAAUGUUUUUGUUAUAUGAUCCUCAAACUUUAACACAGUCUUAUAAGGGCUGUUUCUGGGCUCCUUAGGCUACCUUGUGGUUGAAACUUAAUAUGCUGAUACAUAUUUAGUGUUAACAUAUAGGUGACAUAUUGCCAUGGGAUUGAACCAAAAGUUAACAUUAAAAGUGCUAGUACUUAACAUAAAGAUAAAAAAGACUUCAUUGCAAAUGAUGCCAGAGAUAGGAACUUCUGACCCAAUGACAAUAGAAAUUAAACAAAGUGAAAGAGUAUGAUCAUUCAGGCAAAACAUUAAUUGGGAGGGGAUAUACCUCUAGGAGAGAAGAGGAAAGAGAGAGAGAGAGAGAGAGAGAGAGAGAGAGAGAGAGAGAGAGAAAUGAAAAUGAAUCAAUCUACUACAGAGCAAAGGAAGACACCGCCUUUUGUUGUGAUAUUGGGCUAGGGUCUGAUUGAACAAAAUCUCAGUUCUGGUUUUAACAGGUGGUUGCAGCAUUGCCCUGAUCACUUAAAAAGGAAAUCUCCAUUUUUAUCCCAGGAUGUUUAUCUCUCAGACCUGUGAUCCCAAAAGGGGCACUUUGGAUCACAUGAGGUGAUUACUCCUCCUUGGAGUGGGAGAGCUCAUCAGGGGCAUCUCCCUAGAAGACUACUGUUCCUUGAAGGUGUAUCACAAUGACUGAGGACUUCUAUGCACUAGUCCAGGGGGUCUGUCCUUGAAAAUCUUGAAAAUAUCAUAGUUACUUUUACCUUGGUGUCCUCAGUCUUGAAGGUAGAGGCAAUCAAUUAGAUAAAUUUAGAGUUAAAAAGCUUGCAGUGCCAGUUUUUAGAUGAACAUUCAUUGAUUAACAUACUUGUGGAUAGAAUUCAGCAAGAACUUGACCCAAAGUUUAAAGUAAAGGGAACAGAUGCAUGAUGAAGACAUAAAUGCCAAGCCUUCAUAAUUUUUACUUAUCCAUAGGGCAUCAGCAGGCCCAAGUGCUUUUCAGCAAAAGCAGUGUCCUUAAGUCUCUGUUAUAAUAGGGAAGUCAGGCUCGCUUUGUGUUUGUGGUACUCUCCAUGGGUAAUGGGUCAAGAUUAAUCCACAAAUCAGUGGAUUGUCUCUAGCCUUGGAACAGUUGCAUCUUUUAUUGUGAUAAUAAAGAGAUGGUUCUCCAUCCAGGUAGAAUCAUCUGCAGGCUUGUGAAAAACUCGGAGUCCUGGGCCCUCCUUCCAAGAUAUCUCUUUCCGGAGCUCUCUAGAGGAUUCUCAUCAUUUGCACUUCUCAAAAAUUCCCAGGUGAUGCUGAUAUUGAAGUAAAGCUGCUGGUCAGGAGACCAAGAACCUCUGAAUCCUAUACAAAGGAGUAACUUUUAACUGGUCACAUUUUCCCUAGAUAUUCAUGUCCUGGAUGUUUCCCCAGAAGCUUCCCUACACCCAAAUUCUGCAUAAUUGUACCUUAAUUUUUUUUUUCAUUUGUUGCUUUGAUUUUUCUAGCCAUGGCCUCAUGUUCAGGUUUUAUGAUUCAAACAGGCAUUGCUCUCCCUAAAUGAAGCUACCAAUGUCAUUUUCUUCAGUUACUUGUGUGAUUGCACAGUAUCCAGGCACUGAUGCAAUCACACUGUGCCUAAGUUCUUGCUGGAAGUAUUUAUAGAACUAUUCUAAUUGUAACUUUGAUCAAACUAAUCAUCUUGGUCUUUCUGGACAGAGGAUAGAAGAGAGAGAAACAACACUUUCAAAAUGGAGAUUCAUUCAUUAUCCUAAUGAAAUUAUGGUUAUUUUGACCAAAUUAAUCAUCAAGUUGACCUCCUUAGAUUUUUACUAUAAUGCAAAUUUCCCUUGAACAAUCUAAAAAAAAAAUACUAAGAAACUGUCCUCUACCAGGUAGAAAAACUGAAGGCUGAAAUAUAAAAUAUUAUUCUCAUCUAAACCAUGUAUAUUAUUCACCUAUAAGUAUUUAAAAGUAUUUGUUUAAGAUUCACUCUGUGCCAAAACCUCUUGGAGGUGAUGUGGAUGCUAAGUUUGCAUCUGCGGAGUUAAUAUUCUUAUGGGGUGAACACAUGAUAAACAGGAAAGCAGAGGAGCAAACCAAGUAACUUUGUAGUACUUGGGUCCUCUGAAGGAAGUAAACCAGGAAGACACAAUACAGUGUCAGUGUGUGGAGCUAAUUUAGGUAGAAUGAUCUGUGCAGAUCUCUUGGAGGAAGUGGCAUUUUGAUUGAGACAUCAUCAAUAAGAAGCAGUCAUCCAUCUCUAUCUCAGUGCUAAAGGCAAGAUUAAGAUUUGCAGGAUGGUAGAAGAGAAGCAUUCAGGAAGAGGAAAUAGGCAGCUGUAGAUGUUCUCAACUGUAAAUGCUUGGGAACCUGUUGAACACAGAAGGGAGAUUGAUUUUAUUCUGAACACACUGGAGAAUCUUGGGAAGGUGACAUAAUCUGCUUUAAUGCUUUUUAUUUGUUCUUAUUAAUUAGACAUGAGAGUAGAAUGUAUUUUGGCAGACGAUACAUAUAGAGAAUUUAACUUCUAUUUAGGAUCCCACUCUUGGGAUUAUACAUAAUAUGGAGUUACUCUGGUCAUGUAUACAAAUACAAGGCUAAGAAAGUUAUGAUGGAUUAAUUCUACUGUCUUCUAUAUUUCCUUCCCCACUACUGUUGCAUUCCUUUCACUUUGUCUUAACCCAUAGAUUUCUAUUAUUCUCUUCCUCAACCUCCCUUGUUUUGGAUUAGCAUCCAAAAGUUAGUCAGUAAAUUCAGUCUUUUUGUUUUAUAGGAAUUGGCUUAUUCCACUUACAAUGAUAUUCUCUCUCUCUCUCUCUCUCUCUCUCUCUCUCUGUAUAUGUAUAUAUAUAUAUAUAUAUAUAUAUAUAUAUAUAUAUUCAUAUUUUCUUUAUCCAUUCAUCCACUAAAGUACACCUAGAUUGUUUCCAUACUUUGGCUAUUAUGAAUUGAGCUGCUAUGAACAUUGAUGUAGUUCUGUCACUGUGGUAUGCUGUUUUUAAGUCCUUAGGGUAUAGAUCAAGCAGUGGGAUAACUGGAUCAAAUGGUGGUUCCAAUCCAAGUUUUCUAAGGAAUCUCCGUACUGCUUUCCAGAAUAGUUGUACCAGUUUGCAGUCCUACCAACAAUGUAUGAGAGUACCUUUAUCCCCACGUCCUCACCAACAUUUAUUGUUACUUGUAUUCUUUUUUAUUUAUUUAUUUAUAGUUACUUGUAUUAUUUAUUUAUUUGUAUUUGACAGAGGAAUGCCUUACAAUUCUUAUUACACAUAUACAGCACAAUUUUUUAUAUCUCUGGUUGUACACAAAGUAUAUUCACACCAAUUCGUCUUUUCAUACAUGUACCUUGGAUAAAAACUAUCAUCACAUUCCACCAUCAUUUAUAAUUCUGAUGAGAGGGAUGGUAUUUUAGUGUAGUUUAAAUUUGAAGUUCUCUAAUGGCUAGAGAUGUUGAACAUUUUUUCAUGUAUUUCUGACCAUUCAUAUUUCUUUUUCUAGGAAAUGACAUGAUCUGCUUUAUAUGGGUGAGAAUACAAACCUAUUCUUGGGGGUGAAUUUUGAACAGCUUUCUUAAAAAGGGGGUUUUAGUGAGCACAGUAAUUCUGAUGCAUCCUCAAGUAAUUCUGAUGCAUCCUCUAUAAUAGAGCACUUCUCCAGUGAAUUACAUGAAUGAGAAUUCCCUUCUGUGCUUUCCUUCUAGGAACAUGCCACCUAACACAGGGAAUGAAUGGGGAAAAUUGAGUUUGAUUCUUCAGUAUCUGGCUUGAGCAUUUAGCUGACUUUAUAGUUUCAUUAGCUGAGAUGGAAUUUUGGGGAAAUUUCCUAGGAGCAGCACAUUUGGAGAAAUCAAGCAUCAUCUUUUCAAUUUGGUUAGAAUUGAAGUAUUGUUUAGAUGUCCACGUAGGAAUGUCAAGAAGGUAAUAAGAUACAUAUGUAUCAGAAUUCUUGCAUAUGUCCAGAACUGAGAAGUAAAUUUUACAGCUUUCACCAUAUGGACAAUAAGGCCUAAGAAGGGAUCCAAGGGAGAUGAGAUGUGUGGUGAGUUGUCUAUUUUUUAUAUGUACUCAGAACUGUACAAAGUAGGUUCACAUGACUUCUUUUUUUUAGAUUUUGAUAAAUAGUCCUAUUGUUUUCCAAAAAGCAUAUAUAAAACAGAGGAAAUAAUAGCUAAAUUAAUUGCUAACAUGACUAUUUGUUUUAUGUCUAUGUAAAUAGUUAAAAAAAUUAUGCUAAUUACCACCAUGUCAAAAUUUGUAUGGAAUAUUGCACUAAGCAGUAAAAAAUAAAAUAAUGUUUCCUGAGUGAUUACAAAGAGUAUAGCAAAUUAAUGUCUAUUCUACUUCAUUAUAGCUAUGUCUUACAGAGCCACACCCAUCUCCACAAGGUCCUGAAUGUUUAGCUGGUAGUCUCUCAAGUCAGUUUUGCUUAACUACUUCUCUUCCCAAAACUGUACUAUGUUUAAUGGGAGACUCUAGAAGAAAACAUAUACAUAGGUUCUACAAGUAUGAACUCAAGAAAGAUUAUUGAUUUGGUAGGUAGUCAGCUCAGGGAUAGAACUACAGAUUUCACAAGGUAAACGAUUAUUCAUUGUUAAGUAAAUAAGAAGUGAUUGAAAUAAAUAGGAACUAGGCCAAAGGAAAAUAAUACACCUAUAGAAAGUUAAAGUAAAAUGUAUUCUCUUACAAAGGUAAACAAUAUUGCUGAUUUUAUUCAUGACCAGUCCAUUUAAACUCCAGAAAGUUUGGGCUUCCUUUUGAUAUUAUCACCCAUGCAUGUCAAUGAGAGGAGAUCUGAUUUUAGCCAUCAAAAGUCUCUGGACAAGGGUCUGGAUUUGUAGCUCAAUGGUAGAGCACUUGCCUCACAAUUGUGAGGCCCUGGGUUCACAUAAAAACAAAUAAAGGCAUUGAGUCCAUACCCAACUAAAAAAUAGUAUUUUAAAAAAGUAUCUGGACAAGAAGUUUUGAGUGAAUGGCUUUUUAUUUAUGCUAUAUAGUCAAUACAUUCCAUGGAGUAAUUACAGAAAACAUUUGUUGAUUGAAGAAAGAAAAUAAUUUGCCAUUAAAGAAGGGCAUUUUUUUUCCUAACACAAUGAAAAGACAGAAGUACUCAUAUGUGCUAGCAUCUGACCUCCUUCUUGAAAAUAUAUCAGUGAAAAAUUAAUUCAGUGAGAUGCAUCCCAGGUUCCCUGGGGAAAGGCAGAUACGGGACAAAGCAUAAUACUUAAAAGCAGCCCUGGGAAAAGUCUGAAAACAAUUUCCAAGAAUAUUUUCCAUAUAUUACAAGAGAAGAUAGCAUAUAUUAAGAAAACUAAGCUGGCUGGGUGCAGAGGCACAGCCCUGUAAUCCUAGCAGCUUGGGAAGUUGAGAUAGGAGGAUUGCAAGUUCAAAGCCAACCUCAGCAAUGUUGAGGCAUGAAGAAACUCAGUGGGACCCUAUCUGUAAAUAAAAUACAAAAUAAGGCCAUGCAUGUGGCUUAGUGGUUGAGUGACCUGAGUUCAGUCCACAGUACCAAAAAAAUAAAAGACUGAGCUGUCCACUCAGCUUAUGUUUCCUCAUUGGAUCCCUCCCUGAGAUUUGGAGAGACUCUGAAAGAAAGCUUUAUAUUGUCACAAUUUGAAUAUGAAAGAUAGUUUAAGAUUUUAUAAUUAUCACUAUGGGAGAUACCAGCAAUUUUCCUCCACUAAAUAGGAAAAGCCACCAUAACACAAUGCAUCAGUGACCAAGACAGCAAUCACCCCAAUGAAAUGAUACUGUGUAGGCCACCUUCGAGCCCAUAGCAGAAAGACCCUCCAAAAUUAGAGUAAACAGCAGUAAGAUACAACUUCCUGAAAACACAGGGCAAAACUUCUUUACUCUGCUUAAGCCACAUGUAAAAUUCUGCUUCUCCAUCAUAGGGUAGCAAUCAGAGCCACCAAAAUGAAGUUGUACAGAGAAGUGAUAAAAGAAAAACAACAUAAAGUGUAUUUAAUGGAGUUAAUUUGAGCAAAUAACCAUUCAUGAAAACAAGCAGCACUCGGAACCAAAAAGCCUCCCAGGCCUAUGCCCUGGGCUUCCAUGGGUUGAAUGCAGAGGGGAAGAAAUCACUUGAUUGACUGUAGCUGAACAUUUGCCUGCCUUGGGCAUAAUCACAUGCAAAGUUACCAGUUUUACUUUAGUUGGUGUUUUGUGAUUAGUUAAGCCUAAAUUUCAUUUUACUGUUUAAUUUGGGCUUCCAUUUGAUUAUGUAGGAACCCAAGCAGCUGUAGUUGUUUCUGCCUGAUUGCCUCUCAAUUAUUAUUUUUUUAAUAGCAAAAUAAAUGACAAAUGACAUGGGUAACAAUGUUGAUUUCAAUUGUUCAUUACAGGAAUUUAUUGGAUUGAUUUCUCAUCAGAAAAGAAUUCCUUCAUAUCACACUUCACUCACAGGAAGCAUGAAUUGAAGAAAACUACACAAAAUCUCAAUGACCUAGUAGUAUAUAAGAAAAGUUUAAUGAAGAGUCCAUGAGCAUUGAAAAAUUGAACUUUAACAGCCCUCCCGACACACACACACAUACACACACACACACACACACACACACACACACACACACUGGGGGCUGCCUUUCUUAGUUGCUCAUUGGAGAUUAAAAGCAUUUAGGAGAUGUAUCAAAUCUAACCUAUUCUAGUAAAUGGCUGAUGACUGAGCCUCAGUUGCAAACAGUACUGGAGGAAGGGAACUUCCAAUCCGAGUUUUAAAACAAUGAGAUUGAAACUAUAAGUGAGAGACAUUCACCUGAGGUCUGUGCAGAAAAUGGAUGGCUUAGGCAUCAGAAGUUGUAUGCAUGUGUUAUGGAGAACUGGCUUUAUAGGCAAAAUGUAUCCUUUUUUAUAUGGGACAAUUUCUACAGAAAUGGGCUUUUCACUAGGUUCAGUGGUACUUGAUUAUAAUCCCAGUAACUUAUUAUGGCUGAGGCAGGAGGAUUGCAUGUUUGAGGCUACCCUGGGAAACUCAACAACACCCUGUCAAAAUAAAAUUUUAAAAGAUUGGGGCAUAGCUCAGUGGUAAAACACCAUUGGAAUAAAUCCAGUGUCAUUAAAUAAAUAAAUAUGAAUAAAUAAAUAAAUAAAAGAAGUAGGCUUUCAAUUAAGAUCCUAUUGUUAUUUUUCUCUCUCUUCCAUAUGAAAUUCCUCCUUAGGACAUACACAUAGAAAUGUGUUUUUUUGUUUUCAGCUUAAACUUGGAGUUUGAAAAUUUUGAUACCUUGCCAUUCCCUUCCUGCAUUGAUCUCUUUGUUCCAGACUUAUCUUUGAGUAUAUAUAUACCCAGAAGUUAUGGGCAAAAUGUUGAACAAUCUCUAAGGCAUAAGCACCAAACAAUAACAAUAAGUGUCAGCCUUUGAGCUGGAGCAGAAUCUGGAAACACCCUGGUUAAAAGGCCUUGCCAAGUGGAUUCUUCCUCACAAGGUGGUCCAUGGAGAAAGGACUAUGGUCCUUUGCUAUUAUAACUUCUGUUUUGACAAAACAGUAUCAUCAUAAUGUUGCAUCAAAUGAAGUUAGGAAUCUCAAAACCAACAAACAUGACUUUAUUCUACUAGCCAAAUGACAAUUCCAUGACAAUAUUGUACUAUUAGUUCACCUCUGAGGCCAUUCUCCCUUCCACCCCCAGCUUAUUUCCAUUUGUGGCAAAUUCUCCAAUUAAGGCUUAAAAUAUAGGGUUGAAAAAGGAAAGACUUGAUUCAUGUUAUUAUUAAUUAUUAUUUUCCUAAUCAGACCAUUGGAUCUCUGUUUAUUACCUCAAAUAUAGAAAAGUUCUCUGCUGUGUUAAUAUGAAGUAAUCUGAAAGCAAAUGUAACCCACUUGAAUGAUAUAAGCAUCAAUUAGCCUUGUGACUUUCAGCAGAUCACUUGCUAUUUUUUUCAUCUAUAAAACUGGAGUAGUUACUCUGAUUUCUAAGAUUCUCCCAGUUUGGGUAUUUUGAAUCUGGUUUUAUGAGCUCAUAGUAGUUAACACUUCUCAUUUUUCAUAAAUUGUACAUAGAGAAGUAGAGGAUGAUAGCAUUUAUUGUGUACUUGGUAGUAUAAACAGGGAAAGGUUUACUAUUUUGAUUUCCUAAUGUUCUUCACUUUUAAUUUUAAUUAAUAGACCAAUUUACAUCAGCAAGUAAUCAGUUCUGGAAAAAGGAUCAUCUAUCUUGAUGGUUUAAGCAUAAUUUUCACCAAAGAAUCAACAUAAAUUUUUAUUUAGAUUGAUUUAUAAACAUUUCCUUUAAUAGCUUUUUAGAGUUUUGUGUAUUUAUUUACAGUUGUCUUUCAAUAUUUUAUUCAUUGGAGUUUUCCUCUUUUAUUAGCUAUGGUCUAGCUCUGACUUUCUAAUAUUUUUCCAGAUGACUCCCUGGUUGUUCUAACAAUAUUUACAGAAUUGUUCAUCUUUCCCCAAUAGUUUGAUAUUACAUAGACUUUUUUUUUCAAACACAUUACAUGGUUUUGGUACUUUUAAUUAUCUUCCAUUCAUUUGUCUAUAUAUUUAUGUUCAAAUAUCUUAUGUGACAACUUAUAGUGAAAUCUUUGGUAUACUCUACAACUUAUUUAUGAUUCAUUUUUCUUAUUUUUAAAAAGGCAGCAGUAGUAGUAUGUACCUUAGAGAUGUUAGAAACAAGAAAUUAUAUAAUGCUUAAAGAAUUCAUCAUAAUAUCUGACCCAUUCUAAAUUUCUAAAAAUGAUAUAUAUUAUUAACAAUAUGUACUAUUAGUAAUAAUAUCAGUAAUAUCAUUUUCUUCCUGCUGCUAAAAUUUUAUUUGUAUUUUAUGGUUGGUUUCAGUGCAUACCUGUUUGUUUGUGUAUGUGUUUUCUAGGAUUUGUUGUUGUAAUUGACAAAUUCAUGCAGUUUAAACUCAUAUAGUUUGGGGGAAAACUCCCUCAAUCUCUUCUAAUUAGAAUUAGUACUGCCCAGCAGGAAUCUUUAUUCUAGAUAGUAGUUUGCAUCCUACUGGGUUGCUGUUGCCAUGUUUCCUAAGUCAUUCCUGUACAGUUAAAUGUGUGUUUUGAUUCCCUCUUGAAAAUCAGCUAGAACUUCUCUACUCUGUAAAACAAAGCCUAACUCCCUGCUGGUACCAUUUUCACAACCCGGCCCAAACUGGAAAUUGGCCAGUUUUAGUCUUUUGUUCUCCAACUCUAUGGGGAAAACUUCAGUCAUCACCAAGGAUGAGCAUGGUGCCCCUCACUGAGCAGCUGAAAUUAAAUCCAAUAACUGUGGAGUUUUUGUACACCUGAAGAGAGUACUGGAAAGAUAAGGUACAAAAAUUCACAAGCUGAUUUGCAUCUUCUGUACCUGUUCUCAAAACAGAGUCUCAACUCUAUUUUCCCUAAUGAUUGACAAAAGAAUAUGCCCCUCACAGCAGAGCCCAUAAAAAGUAGCUCUUAUAUCUUGAUUAUUUAUUAGAAUUGGUUUUUUUUCCAUUUUUUAGAGUAGUAAAUCUAGCAUAGAAUCUUAAAACAGAAGAAGGAGUUAAAGGGAUACAGACUUUGUAUAUACCAGCCAGUAAACUGAACUUCUGAUUUCAGGGUUCAUAUUUAGGUUGUUUAGUAGAGACAUUACAUGGGCUUUUCAAGACCAGAGAUGAUAUCUUUCUAAAACACCGCACCACUACCCUGGGUCAUUAGCAAACUAAAUAUUAUAGUACCUAGAUAGUUGUUGGGACUUGAUUGUUUUUGAUUCUUCAGUUUUGAAUGGCAAGAAUUACAUUUCACCAUCUUGAAUUAAGGUCUGCUAAGUAUGAGAUGUAUUUCUGCCUUUCUGUUUAUACCAUAUGACAACAUCUCUAACAUCAUGUAUCCAAGGGCAGAAACUGAAGGAAUAUUUUCCAUGGAAGUAAAGUAAUCAGACAGUCAAAAUUUGGAAUCACUCCUAGUUCUUUGGAGGUAAAGUUAAAUAAUCUGAAAGCAGAUUUUUUUGUGUAUAAGAAUGUUAAUAAAAGUGUAAUUAGUUCAGCAAAUAGCUUUAACUUUUCAGAAAUAUUUCUCAGAAACAGGUUUAUUACAACUGAUUGUUAAAUAUGCUGUCUCAUUGCUUGAUAAUGUGGUUGAGGGGGAGACUAAUCCAUUGUUAGCUCUUCCUCCACAGUGAAAUUCUGCUUUAUCUACAUUCUCAAUUGGGACUUACUCUUUGCUCUUAAUGAGCCUAUGACUAAGAUGUGUAGUUGACACAUCUUUAGCCGACAUGAUUAAUAAUGUUUUCUCGAGAGUUUUCCCCCCCUCCUUCUAUUUCUUAGAAAAUACCCACCUACUUGACCUCUGGCUGGAACUCACCUUCAAGCACAUGCAUAUUUAUAGUGAUUUUGACAAAAGAAUUAGAAUAAAAAUAGUUCCACAAAUGGGACUUGUGUAUACAUUUUGAGUUUAAUUGUUUUUCAAAAGUUAGAAAAUGUAGAAUAACUUCUAGGGUCNNNNNNNNNNNNNNNNNNNNNNNNNNNNNNNNNNNNNNNNNNNNNNNNNNNNNNNNNNNNCCUAGUUCUUUGGAGGUAAAGUUAAAUAAUCUGAAAGCAGAUUUUUUUGUGUAUAAGAAUGUUAAUAAAAGUGUAAUUAGUUCAGCAAAUAGCUUUAACUUUUCAGAAAUAUUUCUCAGAAACAGGUUUAUUACAACUGAUUGUUAAAUAUGCUGUCUCAUUGCUUGAUAAUGUGGUUGAGGGGGAGACUAAUCCAUUGUUAGCUCUUCCUCCACAGUGAAAUUCUGCUUUAUCUACAUUCUCAAUUGGGACUUACUCUUUGCUCUUAAUGAGCCUAUGACUAAGAUGUGUAGUUGACACAUCUUUAGCCGACAUGAUUAAUAAUGUUUUCUCGAGAGUUUUCCCCCCCUCCUUCUAUUUCUUAGAAAAUACCCACCUACUUGACCUCUGGCUGGAACUCACCUUCAAGCACAUGCAUAUUUAUAGUGAUUUUGACAAAAGAAUUAGAAUAAAAAUAGUUCCACAAAUGGGACUUGUGUAUACAUUUUGAGUUUAAUUGUUUUUCAAAAGUUAGAAAAUGUAGAAUAACUUCUAGGGUCAGAUAUUAUUUUAUAUUUUUCAUGCAUUAUAAAUCCAAAUGACUGUUUUGCAAGGUUUGGUCAGAACAAUUAAUGACUGUCUGAAUUGUGUUUAGUUUGUCUUUUUAUCUUCUUCUUCUUAACAAAAUAAUGGUGCUUUAUAUCUCCAUUAGUACCUCAUUUUUCCUCCCUAUGAAUCUAGAAAUAAAUGAAAAAUGAAUUAAAUAGGACUUGUAUUAUUAUUUUAAAACUGCUAAGAAGGAAAUGUCCAGAAAUAAUUGAUUACAAGGAUACAUUUAGAACCUCUCAAUGUCUUAAGAAUCAAUACUUGUUUUUUGACUCAAAAUGAUUCUCCCCGGAAUAUUCACAAUAGGUUAGGAAUGGAAUAUGAAACAUAUUACUAUGUGUCCAGCUCUUUUAAGAUUAUGGUGCCCUUUAUUUCUUUUUAUGUACCUUGUUUUGGAAUACUUUUGAUGUGUAUUCAAUUUCAGUUAAAUUUAUUAAGUAUUAUAUAUGUUUUAUUAAAAGUACUUAAAUCUCAGUGCAGAAAAUAUUAUGUUUACCAUAAUGGGGCCCAUUUUUAAGGCAACAUAAUUCCCAGGGAGACCAGUCACUUUUAUUUGCAGGUACUUGGGACAUAACUUGAACACUCCCAUAAGUCACAUCUUCCUCAGUCAUUUUUCUUUUUCUCAUGUUUGUAAUCCUGGACUACAGAAUGAUAUUUGCUUAAAAAUAUGUUCACGGAGUUCUUAUUCUUGUUUUAUUUGGGCUUAUUGAAUUCACUGUUUUCUACACAUAAAAAUUUCCUUGGCCUUGUUAGCUUGUUUCUCUUUUCCAAGUUGAGUUAAGGGGGAACCUGAAAAUGGACAAUGUCAAAUUUGAUAAAUAGACCAAGGAACUUAGCAGACUCUUCUCAGAAGAUGAUAUGCAAUUAAUCAACAAAUACAUGAAAAAAUGCUCAACAUCUCUAACAAUUAGAGAAAUGCAAAAAAAAAAAAAAACGACUCUAAGGUUUCACCUCACUCCAGUAAGAACAGCAGCUAUUAAGAAUACAAACAACAGGGCUGGGGUUGUGGCUCUGAGAUAAAAUGCUUGCCUAGCACAUGUGAGGCCCUGGGUUCAAACCUCAGCACUACAUAAAAAUAAAUAAAUGAAAUAAAUGUAUUAUUUCUGACUACAACUAAAAAAUAAAUAUUUAAAAAAGAAUACAAUAAGUAUUGGUGAGGAUAAGUGGGAAAAUUUACACUGAUAUAUUGCUGGUGGGACUGCAAUUUGGUGCAGCCAUAUGGAAAGCAGUAUGGAGAUUUCUUGGAAAACUUGGAAUGGAAGCACCAUUUGACCCAGCUAUCCCACUCCUUGCACUAUAUCCCAAAGUCUUAAAAAUAGCAUACUACAGGAACACAGCCACAUCAUUGUUUCUAGCAGCACAAUUCACAAUAGCUAAACUAUGGAACCAAUCUAUAUGCCCUUCAGUAGAUGAAUGGAUAAAGAAAAUGUGGUAUAUAAAUACAUGACAGAAUAUUACUCAGCAAUAAAAGAGAAUGAAAUCAUGGCAUUUGCAGGUAUGUGGAUGGAGUUGGCGAAUAUAAAGCUAAGUGAAGUUAGCCAAUCCCCCUAAAGCAAAUGUCAAAUGUUUAAUUCUCUGAUAUAAGGAGGCAGAUUCAUAGUGGGGUUGGCAGGGGGAGCAUGGGAGAAUUCGACAAACUCUAGAUAGGGCAACGGGGUGGAAGGGAAAGGGAAGGGGCAUGAGGGUAGAAAAGAUGGUGAAAUGAGAUAGACAUAAUUAACCUAAAUACAUGUAUGAAGACAUGAAUGGUAUGAAUAUAGUAUGCAUACAACCAGAGAUAUGAAAAAAUGUGCUCUGUAUGUGUAAUAUGAAUUAUGAUACAUUCUGAUGUCAUACAUAACAAAUUAAAAUUUUCAAAAAAUUAAAAAGAUUAAAAAUAAUUUAAAGUUGACUUGUUCCUUCCUCCAAUAUCUAAAUCAAAUUUGAUAUAUAAGAGUAUGUAUAGGGUUGUUGUGGGAGUACAAAUAUGUAAGGGAUGACACACCUGUUGACAACCUCAAAGGUAGACACUAGAGUAAUUUCUAGACAAGAUUAAGGCAGCUAUGUAGGGCCAAGAGGCAUAUUGUCAAAUUCCAGGACAGAAAAGAUGGCCAAAAUUACAGCAUCCCCUGUCUCCAAAAUAUAUGGAAGAUGGCUAUAACCAGGCCUGUCUGAGCACCUGAUCAAAGUGUGUUGGUAUAGUUAUUUCAACUCAUGAAAAUGUCACAGAAAGAUGAAUGCAUCCUCCAUGUCAUGGGGCCCUUUGAAACACCUGGUAGGAGAAUGGAACUCAGCUAAUGGGUUGACAAGCAAGUGACCUUACCUCACUUUCUUGGCAAUGGAACAUGCAGAAGUUGAAAUCCAGGUAGUAGGCAACCAGAGCCAGACACAAUCCUAAUCUGUUCAAUUGUUUUGAGUCAGCAAGUACAGAGUCAUACAUUCAUGGCAAAUACUAAUCUGUGGAUUUGCAAAGCAAGGAAAGCACAGAGUAGGGGCCUUUCCUGAGAAUGGAGUUGGUGAAUUCUCCUGUGUCAUGACAAUUCUGGUGAGUAUGCCCAAAGACAUCAGAGCUGAGACAAGUCAGGUACUUGCAGGUGAACAUAGUUUAACCCACCAGUCAGAUGACACUUGGAUAGACACAGAAAAUCUCCAGGGGUGUGUGUGUAUGUGUGUGUGUGUGUGUGUGUGUGAGAGAGAGAGAGAGAGAGAGAGAGAGAGAGAGCAUGUUUGCACAUGUGUAUUGAUAUUUGUGUUUGUAUUUCUGUUUGUGUCUCAUAUUCAGUGUGAAAAUGAAGGGAAAGUCAUUUGUUACAUUUUCAUUGAUGGUAUAGUAGUGAGUCAUUUUCCUGCUGGCUACUGUUUUUUUAAGUUGAUGUAUCCCUCUUAAUAUAUCAUACUAGGGAGAAGAAGAGAAAAAAAUUGUAUCAAUGGAUGUGUGCUGUCUAGUGGAAACAUUCCCAGCACUCAUCCUACAAAUUUAUGAAUAACCUACUGCUUGCCUGUGGAUGGAUAACACCUAUAAUGUCCAUGACUUUAUGUAUUCCUCCUGAAAUUUGGUCAGUACCCUGAAGGAUUUCAUGGUUUUGAGUUUUAUAUAUAUAUAUAUAUAUAUAUAUAUAUAUAUAUAUAUAUAUAUAUAUAUAUAUAUAUAUAUAUAAUAUUUUAUAUUAUAUUACAAUAUAAUAUUAUAUACUAUAUAUACAAUAUAAUAUAAUUAUAUAUAAAUAUUAUAUAAUUAUAUAUUAACAAUACAUUAUAUAAUUAUAUUUUAUAUAUUAUAUAUAUACACACAUACACACACACACACACACACACACACACCACCUCCAAGCCCUGUGAAAUGGCCAUUUGUUGGCUUGGUGAAAGGAAUGUUGAGCAUCACUGUGAAACUCAGAUAUCACUCGGAAAGGUAUGGUUUUCAUAGGAGGACCUUGCUUGGAAAGAAAGAAAUCCAAAUAGGAUGAACAGUAGAAGUAAUUGCCAUAGUUUUGGUCAUGUGGAAAUCUAUCAGGGGCAUUGGUCUUCCCUAUGUUUCUGUUUCCAAAAAUGUGAAGAAGUUCUUUGCCUCAACCCUCUCUAUUGUGAAGCCUCAGGUAGAGCAGUUUCAAAAUUAAUGUAGUGGCUGCAGCUGUCACUCAGUAGUAAAUUGCUUGCCUUGCACGUGUGAAGCACUAACUUAGAUCCUCAGCACAAAGGAUAUUGUUUGUCCACCUACAACUAAAAUUAUUUUUUUAAUGUGGAUUGAGUCUUAACUGCAUCUACUAAGACACCUGACAUUCAAGAAGUGACAACAGGGACCCUCUAGGUGGAAUAUGUUUGUCCUCACCCUGAGAUACCUAGGACAUAGAUGGUUGAGUUCUUUUUUUCCUCAAAUACACACAAAGAACCUACCAUUGGCAGACACUAGGACUCUAAUUUGGGAAGAAGUGCAUAGUGCAUAGUGCAUAGCUUCCCUUAUUCUCAGGAAUUGUGUCAAGCCCACCAUGUUUUUAGGCAAAAGAGGAGCACUGGACUUUAUGAUUGAUACAGUCCCUGGACUUCUCUAGGAAUGGAAAUCUCCAGCCAGAUGUUGGUGAGGAGUGGCUACAUGGGAGAAGAUGAGUGGAAUUUGGGCCAUGAGGGAGGGUUCUUCUUUGAAAUUUGGGUAUAUGUGUGGUACUUUUAAGACAUGGCUGAGUAAACCUGAGGUUCCAUGCUGAUGUGAAUCUCAUCAGAUACCUGAGUUCUGGGGCUCUCACUAUAUUACUAUUAUAGUGAAUUGAGGUGGGACUCGAGGUACAUAAGCAUCAGAUGUUUUAUUGGAAAUUGGAGUUAGGCCCAGUGUAGAUUACUCCACAACAGAGGGAAUGUUAGGCAGAAUUUCACACACAUUUAUUGGUAGAGCAUUGUCUGCCAAUGUAGGGAGUCUGAUACACACAUGUUCCUCCCAUUUUAUACCCAUUGGCCUGACUACAUAUGACCUCUUGGCUAGUAUUUGGGAAGCUCUCCCUGUGUGUAUUCUCCAAAGGUUCCAAAUAAGAGUCCUCACUACUUUUUUGCCCCUGUCUCAAUCCAAACCUUAAAUCUAUAUUGUAAACCUACACAGUGUGCAUAUUUAAGGGGAUGUUGACUUAUACAUUCAAUUACCAAUGGUACACUGGCAUAUGUCAUUAUAUAUUGAUUUAUAUGAUAUAUCUGUGCAUCCCAUAAUUUAAAAAUAUGAAUCCAAGUUACACAUCUAGUGCUCUUCUGUGUUUUAGAUCUUACAUAUUUUAUAUAUUUUUAUAGAUAUUUGUCAUAUAUACAUUCUUAUGAAUAUUCAUGUUUUCUAAUAUCAAUUUUAUUAUUGCAUUACAAUUACUCCUACCCCAAAACAAAAUGUAAUGUUGACUCUAACCUUACUCCAUUACUUCAAUCUUAUUUGACAAAAGAGCAUUUAUAGAGUUGAUCUUGCAGUACAGGAAUGUGGGGUAUCAUCCACCUGCUGCAAACCUCAGAGGUAGAGACCAGAAAGAUCCCUGGGGAAUAUUAAGGCAGAUAUGUAGGCCCUGAGAGGCAUAAUGUCAUCUUCCAGGCCAAAAAAAAAAAAACAUGGUCAGAAUGAGGUGAUAUGUCUGAAUCAAGUUUUGUCUUCUCAGUCCAGGGAAGAUGGACAAAACCAGGCCUGUCUGGGUACUUGAUCCUGGGCAUGUUGGUAUAACUUUGUCAACUUGUGAAAUGUCACAGGAAGAUGUGUGCAACCUCCAUCUCAUGGGGCCCUGGUCAUCACCUGGUAAGAGAAUGUGGUUGCCAAGGAAAUGAAGUCACCUCACUUCAUUGGCUAAGGAAGUUACCUCACCUCACUUCCUUGGUGAUGGAACUCACUGAAUUUGGAAUCCAGGUAGCUAGGCACCCAGAGCCAGACACAGUCCCAGUCUGCUCACUUGUUUUCAGUCACUAAGGACAGAGACAUACUUUCUUGGCAUCUACUGAUCUGUGGAUGGGCAAAUGCCAGGAAAGCACUGGGGAGGGGUCUUUCCUGAGAAUGAAAGUACUGAAUUAUCACGGAGUCAGGACAAUUCCAGUGAGUUUUCCCAGUAUUACCAGAGCUGAAACAGGAUAGGCAAUUACAGAUGAACACAGUUUAACCUACCAGUCAGAUGACGCUUUGGAUAGAAGCAGACCCUCUCCACUUGUGUGUGUGUAUUUUUGUUUUUUUCUCUUAUUCCCUGAGAAUAUGGAGGGAAAACCAUUUGUUUAGGUUUUCAUUGACUAUAGAGUUAUGAGUUAUUUUGCUGAUGGCUACUGUUUGUAGGUUGAUAUAUCCCUUUUAAUCUUUCAUUCUAGGGAGAAGAGGAAAAAUGCAUCAGUGGAUGUGUCCUGUCUAGUGGAAACCUUCCAAGCACUCAUCCUGGCAAAUUAAUGAAUGGACUACUGCUUUCCUUGUGGAUGGGGAACACCUACUAUGUCCAUGAUUUUUUUCUAUCCCUCUAAUUCUUGGCUGCUACCCAGAAGGUGCACAUAGGUUCCUGUAAAAGAUAUGUUCCACCCCCAAGCUCUCUGAAGUGGCCAUAUAUUGGCUUGGUGAAGGGAAGCCAGAGCAUCACUGUGAAAUUCAGAAAUCACUGUGAAAGGUAAGAUCUUCAGAGGAGAGCCCAGCCUGCAUAUGCUCUACAGAGAAGUCAUCCAAGUAGAAUGAGCAGUAGGAGUAAAUGCUAUAGUCUUGGUCCUGUGGAAAACUCUGUGAAGGGCUUUGUUGUUCCCUAUUGUUAUGUUCCCAUGAAUGUGAAGAAUUUCUUUGCCUCAGGCCUCUCUUUUGUGAAGCCUCAGGAAAAGCUGUUUCAAACGUGAAAGCACUUUUUAGCUUCCCUUGUUCUGAGGAAGUUUGUGAACCCACCGUGCCUUUAGGCAAAUGAGGGGCACUGGAUAUUACAUUUGACAAAGUCCUGGAAUUCUCUAGGUGAUAAAAGAUCCAGCCAGAUAUUGAUGAGGCAUGGCUACAUGAAAGAAGAUGAGUAGACUUUGGGCCAUGAGGGAGGGUUCUUGCUUUAAGUGUGGGUAUUUGUGUGGUUAUUGUAAGUGAUGACAGGGUAAACCUCAGGUUUCAAUCUAGUGUGAACCUCAGUGGAGACCUCAUUUGUGGGGCUUACCCAGUAGAGGGAUUACAGCGAGUUGUUUGGUAUUUUAGGUAUCUAAGUCACAAGAGGUAUCCUUAAGAACUUACAGCUAGGUCCGGUGUGGAUUUCUCCAGAGCACUAGGGAUCUCAGCCAUGAGUUCACACAUUUUUUUCUGUAGAGCCUUGUCAGCCAAAGUUGAGAGCCUGAUACACACAUGUACCUCACAUUUUAUGCCCAUUGGCCCGACUGCAUGUGACCUCUUGGCUAGUAUUUGGGAAGCUCUCCCUGUGUGUGUUCUCCAGAGGUUCCAACUAAGAGUCCUCACUACUUUUUUGCCCCGUCUCAAUCCAAACCCUGCAGGACAACUUACUUCAUUCUUGACAUAUGGCUAUACCUUUACCCAAACAGUUUUGAAAUUCCCAUGGCCAGGAACCACUAGAGCACCUUAGGAACUUCUGUUGCUCAUCAUGAUGGAAUAAAAGAAGAACUUUAUUGUGAGGAACUCAUUAAAAUUCUAGGUAACACAGACACCAGUGGUUUUGAGCUCUCUGAUAAUGGGGCCUGUGGCAGAUGAGUGAAGGUGUGUGCAAAGAAAUCUGUGCAACGGCCAUGUGGAUCU
rnacentral:lncRNA from 1 species